UACGAAGGGGGCUAGCGUUGCUCGGAAUCACUGGGCGUAAAGCGCACGUAGGCGGAUUGUUAGGUCAGGGGUGAAAUCCUGGAGCUCAACUCCAGAACUGCCUUUGAUACUGGCGAUCUCGAGUCCGGGAGAGGUGAGUGAAACUGCGAGUGUAGAGGUGAAAUUCGUAGAUAUUCGCAAGAACACCAGUGGCGAAGGCGGACUCACUGGCCCGGUACUGACGCUGAGGUGCGAAAGCGUGGGGAGCAAACAGG
rnacentral:rRNA from 1 species